UACGGAGGAUGCAAGCGUUAUCCGGAAUCAUUGGGCGUAAAGCGUCCGUAGGUGGCUUUUCAAGUCUGCCGUCAAAGACCGGGGCUUAACCCCAGAAAGGCGGUGGAAACUGAAUAGCUAGAGUGCGGUAGGGGUAGAGGGAAUUCCCGGUGUAGCGGUGAAAUGCGUAGAGAUCGGGAAGAACACCGGUGGCGAAAGCGGUCUACUGGACCGUAACUGACACUCAGGGACGAAAGCUAGGGGAGCGAAUGGG
rnacentral:rRNA from 1 species